GCGGAUAUGGCGGAAUAGGUAGACGCGCGUGAUUUAGGUUCACGUGUCCCUGUGGCGUGUGGGUUCAAGUCCCUCUAUCCGCACCA
rnacentral:tRNA from 1 species